GACGAACGCUGGCGGCGUGCUUAACACAUGCAAGUCGAACGGAAAGGCCCUGCUUUUAUGGGGUGCUCGAGUGGCGAACGGGUGAGUAACACGUGAGUAACCUGCCCUUGACUUUGGGAUAACUUCAGGAAACUGGGGCUAAUACCGGAUAGGAGCUCCUGCUGCAUGGUGGGGGUUGGAAAGUUUCGGCGGUUGGGGAUGGACUCGCGGCUUAUCAGCUUGUUGGUGGGGUAGUGGCUUACCGAGGCUUUGACGGGUAGCCGGCCUGAGAGGGUGACCGGCCACAUUGGGACUGAGAUACGGCCCAGACUCCUACGGGAGGCAGCAGUGGGGAAUAUUGCACAAUGGGCGGAAGCCUGAUGCAGCAACGCCGCGUGCGGGAUGACGGCCUUCGGGUUGUAAACCGCUUUCGCCUGUGACGAAGCGUGAGUGACGGUAAUGGGUAAAGAAGCACCGGCUAACUACGUG
rnacentral:rRNA from 1 species